GCACCACUUUUGAAUUUGAGUCGUAAAGAUUCGAAAAUAAAAGUGGUGCUGGGGUAAAAAACUUGGCUAUAUGCUGGAAAGUCCGGCGUAUCCAAAACUACUUAGGAGGUUAUUAUGGAAAGAAUUAUUCUUGAGCAAAUAACCAUUAUUCGAGAAGAAAAUGGCUUUGUAAAAAUCGAGAAAUCAACGCCAUUUGGGAAGACGCAUGUCAUUGAAAUGGAAGUACGCUUCCCAGUUCAUGAACUCGAGAAAUUGUCAGUGAAUGAUUUUCUGGAAAAAGUAUCAGAAAAACUUAAGUAAAAAUGUUUUGGUGCGGACAAUCAGCAGGGAAGUCGCCUUAGGCGACCCCUCAACGACUAUACGCCGAGAGGCAGAAAGGAGGAAAAGGAGGCUUGGAAGCCUAGCUUCCGACCUCCAAAAUCUUAAUUCUGUUUAUGAUAUAGUCUGAACUCCAUGGCGACAUGGAG
rnacentral:ncRNA from 2 species